AAUGGCUAGGACGGAAACAAGAACGAGAUACCUGGAGCCUUGGAUGAUUGCGCUGAUUGUGCUAGCAGCAUUUGCAGUCGUAGCCCUUGUUGUCGGCCUGCUGGUUUAUUUUUUGGUGUACGGUGAGUGCAUCAGCUGUUACCAAUCCAUCUGGCCUGAACUGCUCUCUGUUUUCAAGCUUUUCAAACGUUAAAAGGGUCUCAAACAGGCUUUGUGAUCAAGACAACCUCUAGCCCAGGGCAUGGACCCUGGAACAUGUGCUUUGAGGUUCUGCAGGGUGCCGUUGUCUCCCCAGUGCUGUUUUACAUCUAUAUGAAGCCAUUGGGAGUGGACAUGAGGAGUUUUGGAGCACAGUGUCUCCAUAUGCCAGUGGUGGCAAACCUUUUAGAGACCUAGUGCCCAAACUGCAAAUCAAAACCCACUUAUUUAUCGCAAAGUGCCCAGAGUUGUUGAGAUUUUUGUUGAGGUUAUUUUUUGGGGGGGCUCUCCAAAGUUGUUGAGCUUUUCAGGAGGAGCGGCUGACCAAAAUUUUGGAGCUUGGGGGGGGGUUGCAAAAGUUGUUUUGCUUUUGGGGGGACGACGCCCCAAAGCUGCUGAGCUUUUUGGGGGGGAGAGAGAACAAUGACAAAUAAUACCUAACUAACGUGCAGCUCGAACUAAUGCCCCACAAAUAAAAUAACCCAGAGAUGCAUUUUAAAUAAAAGCACACAUUCUACUCAUGUAAAAACACACUGAUUCCUGGACUGUCCGCGGGCCGGAUUUAGAAGGCGAUUGGGCCAGAUCCGGCCCCCGGGCUUUAGUUUGCCUACCCAUGCUUUAGUGUCAUCAGCUCAGUAUUAUGAAAUAUUCUGCCAGUGGAGAUUCAAGUAGGUGCCUUCUGUGCCAACUUUAAAUGCCUGAUGAAAACUUUUUUAUUCCACCAGGUCUAUGUAGGCAAUGAACUUCCCACAACAGUUAGCUGAUUUCUGAUUUUAACUUUUUGUCUAUGUUUUUACUGUGUGGUUGUAUGGGUUAUUACUGUAAACGGCUGUGAUACGUUUUAUGAAUAGCAGUAAACAAAUAUUUCUAUGGACAAAUAAAUAUGCUUUAAAUUUAUGGUGUAUGGAUGCAGCCUGGGGCACCGUACAUAUUCCUGAAAGGCAGGAAGCAGCCUGCUACUCUUCCUUCUCUGCAGAGAGAGAUAUGAAAGCACUCUGUUUCAGAGUUAAAAACACAGAGCGCCUCUGUCAGGGACUGCUCACCUCUGCGCCACGAUCUUGUAGAUAGCAUGAGCCACAUUGGGGCGAAGUAAAGAGAAGAUGAACAUUGUUUAACGUCUUCCUUUCCUCCUCUUCCUUUGUUGCAGAUCAGAAGUUGUUCUUUUACAAUGCUUCCUUUAGAAUCACUAAUCAGCCAUACCAACCAAGUUUGGAAAAACAGACCUCAAAAGAAUUUAGAGACCUGAGCUCUACCAUUGAGACUAUUGUAAGUGA